rnacentral:rRNA from 1 species
GUGAGUAGUUCAGAGUUUGAUCCUGGCUCAGGACGAACGCUGGCGGCGUGCUUAACACAUGCAAGUCGAACGGAGUUAAGGAGCUUGCUUCUUAACUUAGUGGCGAACGGGUGAGUAACGCGUGAGGAACCUGCCUUUCAGUGGGGGACAACAGUUGGAAACGACUGCUAAUACCGCAUGAUACUAUUGAGUGGCAUCACUUGAUAGUCAAAGAUUUAUUGCUGAAAGAUGGCCUCGCGUCUGAUUAGCUAGUUGGUGGGGUAACGGCCCACCAAGGCGACGAUCAGUAGCCGGACUGAGAGGUUGACCGGCCACAUUGGGACUGAGAUACGGCCCAG